GACGAACGCUGGCGGCGUGCUUAAUACAUGCAAGUCAACUGAACUUAGGAUAGCAAUAUUUUAAGGGAGGUGGCGCACGGGUGAGUAACACGUAGGUAAUCUGCCUUUAGGUCUGACAUAACCUACCGAAAGGUAGACUAAAAUCAGAUGAUGCAGCGGCUCGACAUCGAGACAGUUGUUAAAUCUUCGGAGCCUAAAGAUGAGCCUGCGUCUGAUUAGGUAGUUGGCGGUGUAAUGGACCACCAAGCCUGCGAUCAGUAGCUGGUCUGAGAGGAUGAUCAGCCACACUGGAACUGAGACACGGUCCAGACUCCUACGGGAGGCAGCAGUAAGGAAUAUUGCUCAAUGGCCGAAAGGCUGAAGCAGCAACGCCGCGUGGAGGAUGAAAUACUUUGUAUGUAAACUCCUGUAAGAAGGGAAAAUGUUCCGAUUCAUCGGAAUUGAUUGUACCUUCAGAGUAAGCCCCGGCUAACUACGUGCCAGCAC
rnacentral:rRNA from 1 species